CAUACGCGUUCAGAGUUUGAUCCUGGCUCAGGAUGAACGCUGGCGGCGUGCAUAACACAUUCAAGUCGAACGGACGAGGGGCUUCGGCCCCGAGUUAGUGGCGGACGGGUGAGUAACGCGUGAGCAACCUGCCCCUGUGUGCGGGAUAACGUCUGGAAACGGACGCUAAUACCGCAUGAUGCAACGGCAUCGCAUGGUGCUGUUGCCAAAGAUUUAUUGCACAGGGAUGGGCUCGCGUCCGAUUAGAUAGUUGGUGAGGUAACGGCCCACCAAGUCGACGAUCGGUAGCCGGACUGAGAGGUUGAACGGCCACAUUGGAACUGAGAAACGGUCCAG
rnacentral:rRNA from 1 species